CAGGAGAUAGUUUAAUUAAAAUUUUGACUUUGGGAGUCAAAGAUAGGAGUUUAAAGCUCUUUUUCUUGA
rnacentral:tRNA from 1 species